rnacentral:rRNA from 1 species
AUUGAACGCUGGCGGCAGGCCUAACACAUGCAAGUCGAGCGAGCGGCGGACGGGUGAGUAAUGUAUGGGGACUGCCCGCUAGAGGGGGAUAACUACUGGAAACGGUAGCUAAUACCGCAUACUAUCGGAUAACCCAUAUGGGAUAAGCUAGUGGGUGAGGUAAUGGCUCACCUAGGCGACGAGCCCUAGCUGGUCUGAGAGGAUGAUCAGCCACACUGGGAUGGAGACAGGGCCCAGACUCCUACGGAGGCAGCAGGGGGGAAUAUUGCACAAUGGGCGCAGGCCUGAUGCAGACAUGCGGCGGGUAGGAAGAAGGCCCUAGGGUUGUAAAGUCCUUUCAGUCGGGAGGCGUUACCGACAGAGGAAGCACCGGCUAACUCCGUGCCAGCCGCCGCGGUAAUAC